UUUUAUUUUAUUUUAUUUCUUUCUUUUUAAUUUUGUAAAAAGUUUUUAUUAGUUUUUGGAGAAAUAAAAAACAGAAAUAAAGGACAAAAACUAAAAAACAUUCAAAAAUCGAAAAAUUAAAAAAAAAAUCGGAUCAUGAGGUUUUGAAGGAAAGAUCAAACUUCUUUUAAAUCUAAUAUGCUAGGAUAAAAGAUUUUUUUAACACAAUUUAAAUUCCUUUUGAUCUUCAGUCCUAUCAUAACCGAAAGCCAAUCCCUAUAAAUUCAACAGAGCAAUCACCAGUAAAGAAGGGGGUAAAGAAACAGAGAGAGAAAUCAACAACGCCACAAAUCAUAGGCAGAAAACCAUACAAGCAGUAAGCAAAAAAUUAGAUUUAGUUUUCUGGUAAAAAGGUUUUUGGAUCUCGAGUUGUUAGUGUUGAAGAUUUUGGAAUUUUCCUUAGAUUAGAUAGAGAUGAGCGGUUUAAAGCUGAUUUUAAGGUGUUUGGAGGGCUGAUAGUGGCAGCGUAUGGCAAAAACAGUAGCGGAAGGGUUUGGUUGUACGUGAUUGCGGCUUUUUAUUUUUAGAUCUACACAAUUUGGUGAAGAUUCAGUGAUAUCUAAUUUGAUAUAGGGACAGAGAAAGUCGAAAGAUUGUUUCCGAAAAUUUUGGUGGGUUUCGAUGACCGGAGGACGAUUAUGGAUGGCGAUAGCGAUGACGACGAUCACCAGUUGCUGGGAAAGUGGCCGUGAACUGGGUUUGGAUGAGCUUUUCGGCAGUAGCUCCCAAGAGUUAGAGAGAAAGGCAGAGAAAAUUAUUGAGGAGGGAGAGGAGAAGGGCAAACGAUGAAGAGAAAAAUAUAUUUUCUGUCUUAAAUAAUGGACUGAAACAGCAUUGUUUUGGAAAGUAAGAAGCCAGGCCCUUUAACCGAGAAGCAGACCCGAAUGAUGCUCCAUCAUGACCAGACGGUUUGUAACCCGGUUCAAGCCGUUUCCUAGUUGAGUGCUAGGCCACUAAGUCGAGCCAUUGAACUAGUGUGGCGCCGAUGCCAAGCCGAUGCUAAGCAGG
rnacentral:lncRNA from 1 species